rnacentral:tRNA from 1 species
GGCCGAGUGGCGGAAUGGCAGACGCAGUGGACUCAAAAUCCACCGAUCGCAAGAUCAUGUGGGUUCGACUCCCUCCUCGGCCA